CACAGUGUCUCUAUAGAUAGAGCCAUCAGGAUAGCCGAAGAAGCACAACUCACUUAAUGAAGUGGCGAAAUGGACAUUGGAGUCACAGGGCAGGAAUUUCAUCUCUAAAAUCAACUUCAUCAUUAAGGAAGGAUGAAGACAAAGGAAACUGAAAUUUGCCUGCACAGCUUUAGCUUCUGAUGUCCAGAGCCUAACCAGACAGGCCUGCAGGCAGGGAACUUCCAGGGGCCUGCCAGGGUCCUUCCCUCCCCCUGCCCACUGGACUGAGGAGGGAGGGGAGGCCUGGCCUUUAUGGAGCUGAAUGGGAUGAAGAAAUCAAAACCACAACAGGCUCUAUUGUGUCAGAGCAUCAAAAGGAGCGGUGGCAUGGCAUGGGCUUUGAUCAUGAGGCAAACACAGGAGGGGAAAGGGGCUGGUUUUGGGCGAAGAACACCCGUGCUCAUGAGCUCAUAAAACACUAACACACAGGUGUGAGGACAUACAGUGUAAGCAUGUGGACAUGGACAUACUGUGCACGCACAAUCACACUCUCAUACACAUGCAUGCAUAAAGACCAUGUGGCGCUGCUCUCUUUGAAGCCCGUCUGUGUUUGUACCUGAGGCGAAGUCAUACAAUCAGACAGUGUUCUGGCAGCAGUGCUGCAGUGUCACCAUGAAUGCCACUGAAGGCUGAACUGGUUUUACCACCGCUGGAGUUUGGUAGAGUUUGCCAUUGUGUUUGCCAAAUUAAGCACCACACCCAAUCAUGCAGAAAGAGCACCUGAGCAAUCACUGGAAAAUACCUAGAGUUUCUAGAUUCUCUCACCAAACAUUACCCAAAUGGUAUUCAUUCCAACCUACAGCUGUUA